rnacentral:rRNA from 1 species
AGAUUGAACGCUGGCGGCAUGCUUUACACAUGCAAGUCGAACGGUAACAGGCCGCAAGGUGCUGACGAGUGGCGAACGGGUGAGUAAUGUAUCGGAACGUGCCCAGUCGUGGGGGAUAACGCAGCGAAAGCUGCGCUAAUACCGCAUACGAUCUAUGGAUGAAAGCGGGGGACCGUAAGGCCUCGCGCGAUUGGAGCGGCCGAUAUCAGAUUAGGUAGUUGGUGGGGUAAAGGCUCACCAAGCCAACGAUCUGUAGCUGGUCUGAGAGGACGACCAGCCACGCUGGGACUGAGACACGGCCCAGACUCCUACGGGAGGCAGCAGUGGGGUAAUUUUGGACAAGUGGGCGACGAAGCCUGACUCCAGCAAUGCCGCGGUGCGAAGGAAGAACGGCCGUU